CCUACGGGAGGCAGCAGUGAGGAAUAUUGGUCAAUGGGCGAGAUCCUGAACCAGCCAAGCCGCGUGAGGGAAGACGGCCCUAUGGGUUGUAAACCUCUUUUGUCGGAGAACAAAACCCGGGACUCGUCCCGGACUGCGUGUACCCGAAGAAAAAGCAUCGGCUAACUCCGUGCCAGCAGCCGCGGUAAUACGGAGGAUGCGAGCGUUAUCCGGAUUUAUUGGGUUUAAAGGGUGCGUAGGCGGAAGGUUAAGUCAGCGGUAAAAUGUCGGGGCUCAACCCCGUCGAGCCGUUGAAACUGGGUGACUUGAGUGGGCGAGAAGUACGCGGAAUGCGCGGUGUAGCGGUGAAAUGCAUAGAUAUGGCGCAGAACUCCGAUUGCGAAGGCAGCGUACCGGCGCCAAACUGACGCUGAGGCACGAAAGCGUGGGGAUCGAACAGGAUUAGAUACCCCUGUAGUC
rnacentral:rRNA from 1 species